rnacentral:rRNA from 1 species
CCUACGGGUGGCAGCAGUGAGGAAUAUUGGUCAAUGGACGAGAGUCUGAACCAGCCACGCAGCGUGAAGGAUGACUGCCCUCUGGGUUGUAAACUUCUUUUAUAAAGGAAUAAAACGAGGCACGUGUGCCUUUUUGCAUGUACUUUAUGAAUAAGGAUCGGCUAACUACGUGCCAGCAGCCGCGGUAAUACGGAGGGUCCGAGCGUUAUCCGGAUUUAUUGGGUUUAAAGGGAGCGUAGAUGGGUUGUUAAGUCAGUUGUGAAAGUUUGCGGCUCAACCGUGAAAUUGCAAUGGAUACUGGCAGUCUUGAGUACAGUUGAGGAAGGCGGAAUUCGUGGUGUAGCGGUGAAAUGCUUAGAUAUCAGGAAGAACCCCGAUUGCGAAGGCAGCUUACUAAACUGUGACUGACAUUGAUGCUCGAAAGUGUGGGGAUCAAACAGGAUUAGAUACCCUGGUAGUC